rnacentral:misc_RNA from 1 species
GAUGAAGAACGUAGCGAAAUGCGAUACGUAAUGUGAAUUGCAGAAUUCAGUGAAUCAUCGAAUCUUUGAACGCACAUUGCACUCUCUGGUAUUCCGGAGAGUAUGCUUGUUUGAGUAUCUGUAAACAUCUCAAAUCUCUCUUCAAUUGCUUCAAUUGGGUCGAGAGAAUUGGAUUUGAGCGAUCCCGACUCCUUCGUCAGAAAGAGGAGGGUCGCUUGAAAUGCAGGUGCAGCUGGACAUUCUUCUAAGCAAAAAGCAUAUCUAUUUAGUCCCGUCAAACGGAUUAUUACUUUUGCUUCAGCUAAUAUAAAGGUUGAAUGAACUACCAACGCUGAUUGCAGGAAAACAUGUUCGUUUAUUCGGACUUGUAAACUCGAUCUCAAAUCAAGUAAGACUACCCGCUGAACUUAAGCAUAUCAAUAAGCGGAGGA